CGUGUCUGCAGGAAGCAGAUUUGGCUGCAGCGGCCGCACACUCACCGACGGCGCCCCUGCCACUGGUUUCGGGCAGGUCCCCUUCACAUGCAGCCUCCGGAUCAUCUCACAGCAUCUCCUCCGACCAGGAAUUCGUCUUUUGUUUAAUUCCGCCGCGAUUCAAAGCUGGGUAGUUUGGGAUUCUGCUGCUUUCAGACCAAAACGCUGAGGAGGAUUCAGCCAUGGGGGACCCAGAACCGAGUGGUCUCGACAGUCAAGAACGGGUCCCUGAAAACAAGAAGCGAUACAGUGAGAUAUUCCGGAGCCUGGAUGACUUGGAGAUCUCCAUCGGCAACGCGUACGUAGAGAUACGGGGCAGAACCACCUCUCUGGGUCUUUGCAGCCCUAAUUUAUCAUUCCUUUUUAAUUUAUUUCAUGUCAUUCCUUUUCAUUUUACAGGACAGUUGAUUUGUUCAUUGGUGAUGCUGACGGCACUGACGACACAGACCUGUCUGCAGAAAGAGAGAUCGUUCCGGUAGGCAAAGAAUUACCCGUCUUAAUAAAAAAAUUAACAGUGUCUUUUGCCA
rnacentral:lncRNA from 1 species